rnacentral:rRNA from 1 species
CUACGGGUUGCAGCAGCGAGGAAUAUUGCACAGUGGGGGGAACCCUGAUGCAGCAACGCCGCGUGGAGGAUGACGCAUUUCGGUGUGUAAACUCCUUUUAUAUGUCAAGAAAAUGACGGUAGCAUAUGAAUAAGCACCGGCUAACUCCGUGCCAGCAGCCGCGGUAAUACGGAGGGUGCAAGCGUUACUCGGAAUCACUGGGCGUAAAGGACGCGUAGGCGGGUUGGAAAGUCAGGUGUGAAAUCCUACAGCUUAACUGUAGAACUGCACUUGGAACUUCUAAUCUAGAGUAUGGGAGGGGGAGAUGGAAUUAGUGGUGUAGGGGUAAAAUCCGUAGAUAUCACUAGGAAUACCUAAAGCGAAGGCGAUCUCCUGGAACAUUACUGACGCUAAGGCGUGAAAGCGUGGGGAGCAGACAGGAUUAGAUACCCCCGUAGUC